rnacentral:tRNA from 1 species
UGGCUCAGUGGUUAAGAGCACUGGCUGCUAUUCCAGAGAACCUGGGUUCAAUUCCCAG